CAGUCCAGACCUCUGGCACUGAAAGUACAAGAGUCUUGUGAGGCUGAGGAACAUCUGCUCAAGAUCAAUGUACAAUUGCAGUUCUGGGGCAGAGUUGCUUCAAAGGAACAGUUGAAACACCAGCUAAUAGCAUAUGAUGAGGACCAAGAAUCAGAAGACUUAUAUUUGGAAACCAGAACCACCCAGAUUAUUUCAUUUCCAUGCCUCGGGUUUAAUGCCUUUGUGUUAUUUUUCCUCAUCAGUAUAAAAAAGGUUCUACCUCUUACAUUAUCCUGGCUCAUAUGACCCUGUUGAAGCAUCAUCAUUUUCUACAUUGACUAAUCUUAUGCCAAUGGCCAGAGAAUGAUCUACCAAUUAUAGGAAAGGGAGACAUGGGGAGAAUCACCAACAUAUGAGGAGAAAAGGAUCUUAAACAGGUGGUCCUACAAGGAACAGAGACUGGUUUCUACCACAAAUGUUGGAGAGGAUGUGGAGAAAGGGGAACCCUCCUGCACAGUUGGUGGGAAUGUGAACCAGUGCAGCCACUCUGGAAAACUGUGUGGAGGUUCCUCAAAGAGUUAAAAAUAGAUCUGC